AACGACACCAACAACGACACCAACAACGACGACAACGACACCAGCACCAAAUGACGACGACGAUGUAAUCGGAGACGUCAUCGUACCGCUUGCCUUGUUUGCGGUCUUCAUCAACUUAUUCGGCGCUAUUUUCUUUUAAAUAUGUGAAAUUCUGACAUAUCGGCUGUAUAAAACACCAAUUCCUGGUAUUCUUUUUAGUUUUAUUGUCUGCUAGCCGAACAGCUUAUCGCGUGGCUUUGAAUAAACAUAUACAAUGAA